GAUUAUCUUAUAACCUAAUCGGGAUUGAUCUAAUUGAAUUCAAUUCAAUUAGGCUUAAUCCAGACUUUAAUGCUCAAUCAAAUUGAGUUAAUCAGCAACCUAAUUGCUAACCAAUCCUUUCAAAUUUCACUAACAUUUAGCAAAUUAAUUUAUUGCAACUAUUGCACAGGGUUGAUCAUCAAUCGCAUUGAUAAUUUUACCCUCGAACGAUUCUUAAUCAUCGAUUUGCCAA
rnacentral:lncRNA from 1 species